UUAGCAUGGGGAUUAAAAUGCAAUCCCCAAAAAAUAUAUAUGAUUGUGUUUAGUUGUUCAUAUCAUGACACUAGAUUAUCAUGUCAGUCACAUAGUAUUGUAAUUUGGCAUUAUAUCUCUUCCUUAAGCCGUGUGUGAUCUUUGACCAGUGUCUUUUCCAUGGAAUCGCUCGGCACCUUGAAAAUCCGGCGUUUACCCACCCUUUUCAGGGUAUGUUUGCCCGAUUGGAAUUUGACUUCAAUCAAUUAGAGCCGUCUAAUCAGGCGAACACACGCAUUUCAGCACUCGAGCACUUGCGUUGAUAAGUGGGUAGAACAGGGAACACAGGUCUUGCGGCAAUUAGUCAGGCGGUAAUCAGUUCUUAUCGGGGAACUGGCAACAGUUGGUUGAAUCGCUCGGAAACAGUGUUUUUACAACUGUUUUUUUUUUUUAGUUUUUUUUUCUUGGCCGUGAUAAAACUUCUGAUAAACCAGAGCCCCUAGACUUUGCUCUCCGUCCACCUACGACUACGACUAUACGGUUUCCGUUUUAUGGCUGCCUCGUAAAAAUAACUGUUCGGCCGAUACGCUCGAGGAAGAAUGGGUACGAGUAAAUUUCCAAAAAACAAAAGGGGGGAGUGCAGCUAUUUUGCCGGACUGCGAAUUAAACCGAAAACUGCCCAGCUGACCAGCUGCCCUUGACCCUCCGACGUAAUCGCACAGACACAGCAACUGACACACUCACCUGCGCAACACGCAAUCCCAGCAAAUACAAUAACACAAUUGUGCGGGCACAGUGGGGCAGAGCGGAUUUUUCAUAUGGGAAAAUAGUCAAUUGACUCGAGGAAAUCAAGUGGGGCUUAUUAAAAAAAUGGUUGAUUUUUUCUGGUCUAAGAGCAAUCACGGUAGUUCGAUAUAGAAUCUUUAAGGGAGCAAUAAGAGUUUUUUCCGUUUAUUAAAGCUGAGAUUAUUAAGGUUUACCGAGUUGAUAUAUUUUCAAUGUCAUAAUAUUAAAAUGGUAAAUUAUUAAAUGGAAAUACAAAUUUUUUUGUUUAUUAAAUCUUAAAUUAAAUAGGUUUACUAAGUUCAUAUAUUUUCAAUGUCAUUAUAUUAAAUUGGUUAAUAAUUAAAUGCUAAAUAUUAAAAAAAUGGUUGAUGGUUCCCGACCUAAGAGCAAGCACAAAAGUUGAAUAUAGAAUUUUCAAGGGAGAAGAAAAAAAUCUUUCCUUAUAUCAAAGCUGAGAUUAUUAAGGUUUACUGAAUUGAUAUAUGUUUAAUGUCAUAAUAUUAAGAUGGUAAAUUAUAAAAUGGAAGUAAAAUGUUUUAUUUAUUAAAGCUGAAUUUAAUUAGGUUACUGAGUUGAUAUAUUUUCAAUGUCAUUGUAUUAAAAUGUUAAAUAGUUAAAUGGUAAAUAUUAAAAAAAAUCGUUGAUUGUUCCUGGCCUAAGAGCAAGCACAAUAGUUAAAUAUAUAAUUUGUAAGGGAGAAGAAGAAAUUGUUUCCUUAUAUCAAAGAUGAGAUUAUUAAGGUUUACUGAGUUAAUAUAUUUUCAAUGUCAUUUUAUAAAAUGGUGAGUUUAUUUGCACUAAGCUAUCAUAAUCCAUAAAUACUUUUACUGCCGUCUGAAUACAAUCAUUUAAUUGUCCACUCACUGCUCAAACUUAUGAUUCACUGAUUGAGCAUUUCCCUCAAGAAAAUUUGAUAAAUAUGACUCAAUAUUAAAAAAAAAGUAUCUGAUUUCCAAUUUCUCGUAAUUUUUCCCUCUGAAAUUACAUUUUUGCUGACCAAGAGUUAAAUAACCCCGGGGUGGAAAUUAUCUCGCCGUGAACUGCUUUUGCCGCCUCAACUUUGACCCACUGUGCGGCCAAGGCUUUUCGCUGUUGCCUUUAUGUUUGUUUAUUUGUUUUGAGCGCGGUUUCGCAGUGAGCAGAGUGGAAAUCGCUAGCAUUGGCGCGUUUUUAAACGCUCUCGAAUGUGGGGUGUGCAAAUACCCAAUCUACGCGAUGCCAAAUGAAUUUUAAUUGAGACAUGCAAACUGGGUGUCGGAGUUACGGAAUUUGAUUCUGUUUUUUUGUGUUUGUCGCAAAAAAGGUUUGAGUGCAAACAAUGGCAAACAAGACAAUUGCAUUUAGCGUCAUCAUUUGCCAAGCUCCACCGAAAACUAAAAUAUUGUUUGCACACUAAUGAUCAAAUAGAGUUGGUUUUUGGACUCUGCCAUGGAAAUUUCCCAUUAUCUGGUACAAAAUAAUCUGGCUGAGAUUGGCCAGUCAUCAUCCCAGACGAGAUUGGUGGAAGAAGGGUUAGUGGCGUUCCCAUAAGCAAAUGGGGCGGAAACUAAUUUAAUCGAACCACUUUGUACGGCCACCUCCAUUAUACCACUAUACCGUAUCGCAGCGGUUUGGGAUUCGUUAUCUAUCCAUCGGCUUCAACGGGGUAUUAGGAGUGUUUAAAAAUAAAACAUGAACUAUAGAGGCGGCCUGAUAAAUGACCGGCCAGUCGGGCCAGUGCCAUAAUAAAUCUACCUUUGAAGCGCCAUAUAGAUGUGCAUAUACUGAAAGCGGAACCCACGUUUAGGGUAACUGUUAAUUGACCGCAUAAACCCGCCCACUUUGUCCAUCAAUUAUGUGCAUCUAAAUUGAACUUUGACGCUGCAAAUUGCUCUACUAUUCCCACCCAUAUUCACCUCUUCCGUUUUUUGCCGCGCAAUAAACAAAUAAUUAUAGGCGAAUAAAUUACAAAAAUAUGGCUAAAAAUCAAGCGUGUAUCAAUCAAUAAAACAAUAAACACACAUUCGAGCAAAGUCCGAAAUAUUAUUUUAUGUUAAUUUAUGGGAAUCUAACAAAAAACAAAAAAAAUAGUAUCCUCUGAUAUGUUAGUUUAAGUGCGUUAUAUACACAUUAUCUAAUCGACUUCUGUGUCGACAUUUGCCCAUCCAAAUCACGUGUAAAAGAUUGUUUAAGGUUUUAAAUUUAUAGAUAAAUAGUACAUUUAGCGUGUACUGUUACCUUGAAAUAAAUAGUAGUUACAAAAUAAAUAAAUUUAGAGAAAUAAUCUAAUCUACUAAAAGUGUCUUGGAUUGUUUAAUAUUUAUUUACAA